GAGAUGGCAACUAUUAGACAUCCCAUGUGCACAUGCAGUGGCUACCAUUAAAGACUGUUACGAUAACUCUCGGAUAUAUAUGUUCAUGACUGCUAUAAGGUGAGAACAUACCUAAACUAUUAUGAGAAUAUUGUCAAUCCAAUAAAUGGGAAGAACAUAACUGGGUGAUUCAUUUUUAUUGUAUCUUCAUUGUUGUUCUUGUCAUAGAACAAACUUGUACCUUGGAGAAAGAGGAACACCAUGCCAGACCAUGCCAGCUAACCAAGAACAAUCUUCAAUAUCAGAAUUCAUGCUCAUACCUAUGCCUGGGAUUGUUUUAAGUCAAUCUGCAAUCUUUAGUAAAACGAGUGAAAGCACUUCGAGAUUAGUCAUGUUCGGGUUGAGAGCAUUUCUGUUGAUGAGUUGGUAAAAGACUUGCAAGAAUUUGAUGCUGAGGAAAACUCAAAAUGGAGAAAAGCAACAGCUAGAAACAGAAAGAUUGUAAGAGGUUCUGUUUCGUUUGCCGAAUCUCGAACCAUGAGCAAGUGAAGAUAAGAUGCAACUUUCUUUUAUAAUGCACUAAGAGGAUUUGCAAGCAGCAACAUUCUUUUUUAUUGGCAUCUUCAAUUUUAUAUUCAGGUAACUCAUGGCUGACAUUUUUCCCUUCACUUAUAACUGGCGAGUCAUGCAAAUCUUCAUCCACGUACAACAGAAACUGGAGGAGAACUAUAAUAGUAGCAUUUUUCAGUCCAUUCAUGUCUGUGUGUGCAUGUUUCUCUAGCCCAAUGACGGAAUCAAAAAAUGUGUAGUCCAUUCACUUUUUUGUAGUCCAUUAAUGUCUCUGCAUUUUUUGAAUUUCUACAUGCGAGAAAGUUGGGUGCACUAAGAAGUUUGUGGAAAACACCUUUCAUGUGAUGCAAUGUUUUG
rnacentral:lncRNA from 1 species